UACGAAGGGGGCUAGCGUUGCUCGGAAUGACUGGGCGUAAAGGGCGCGUAGGCGGCUUGUAGAGUCGGGUGUGAAAUUCCUGGGCUUAACCUGGGAACUGCGUUUGAUACGGAUGGGCUAGAGUUCGGGAGAGGAGAGUGGAAUUCCCAGUGUAGAGGUGAAAUUCGUAGAUAUUGGGAAGAACACCGGUGGCGAAGGCGGCUCUCUGGACCGAGACUGACGCUGAGGCGCGAAAGCUAGGGGAGCAAACAGG
rnacentral:rRNA from 1 species